CAGGGCUCGAACCCAUGUCCCCUGCAUUGGCAGGCGGAUUCUUAACCACUGCGCCACCAGGGAAGUCCCUGUACAGAUACUUUUUUGGUCUUCUAGUUAGCCUUUGAGCUAUGUGUGCUUUGGUAGUUUUCAGUCCAUGACACACCCUGAAAGAAAACUUGAGCUACUAAAGCAACCUUUGAUUUAGCCAUUGCUGAUCAAACUUCUGUACCCAGCCAGUGCACACAACCUAAACAUUUUUCUUAGAGUUACAGUUGCUAACACUUUACUCUUUCUUGGGCUAACUUCUUGUAAAUUGAUGAAAUAAAGGGAAGAAAUUAACGAAGACAUCAGAUAGUACUACAAAUUGCUUCUAACCUCUUUCUUUAUCCUGUAUCAGGAGGCCAAGGGAAUGUAAGCAGUUGCUUGUAGAAACCUAUUAAUAGCUAACAUUUGUUAAGGCCUAACAGUGUGUUGGGCACUGUUCUGAGUACUUUCUUAUUGAAGUCUCAAAAGAACUUUACAUGGUUAAGUUUUAUAGGCAUGAUAUAUUUAUAUAAUAGCUAUUUAAUAAUACAAGUUUUUAUUAUGGCUUCUUAUAAAAUGCCAAAUGGAAAAUAAAUAUAUGCAAAAUACAUUAUUUUCUUAUUCUGCUGCCUGUUUUUUAUUCAGUUCAUUCGGACACAUGGGCCAGCACUUUUUUACAUUGUACUUAACUGUUAAUACUAUGAAAGCAAAUAGAUAACAGGAACUGUGCGAUGAAUCUGGGGAAAGAAAUAUUGUAUCAUUCCAGGUUUCUUGAGGUUGUAAGAAUCUCCUUCACAGAUAUUUCUUCCCUUUCUAUUUAGAAUACUGGAUAAAGUAUAUUUAUACUGACGUGUUUCUUAGAUAUGUGAGAGGACUGAAUCUGGGUGCCAAGUUUGCUGGUUAAGCUAGAGUUAAAAAUGUUGUUUCUAGUGAACUGGGAAAUGUUUUUUAAAAUUAUAAUAUUGAAUACUUUUCAUGCUCUGAUUUGAAAUUUUUUAAAGAACCAAGUAAAUGUUACAUAUAGGGAUUAAUUAAGAGCCUCAGUCUGGUAAAGUUGUUUACCAGUUGGCUACUCAGGGGUGGAGUCAGUUCAUAAAGAAUCUGCAGCAGAUGAAUUAAGCCAGUAGCCACUUCACCCUUCUGCUUUUCCCAGCUGGAGUAGGAUUAGGACUCAUUCAGCUGCAGCUGGUUCCCAGGAAAAUCUAGGCUGUUUCUUCUGAAGCCAGUAGCCACU